UGCCAGCAGCCGCCGUAAUACGUAGCGGACUAGCGUUGUUCGGAAUUACUGGGCGUAAAGAGUACGUAGGCUGUUUUUCAAGUUGGGUGUGAAAGCCCGGGGCUCAACCCCGGAACUGCACUCAAAACUGGAAGACUAGAGAUCGGAAGAGGUAAGUGGAAUUCCCAGUGUAGAGGUGAAAUUCGUAGAUAUUGGGAAGAACACCAGUGGCGAAGGCGGCUUACUGGUCCGAGACUGACGCUGAGGUACGAAAGCGUGGGGAGCAAACAGGAUUCGAUA
rnacentral:rRNA from 1 species